AGAAUAAACGCUGGCGGCGUGCCUAACACAUGCAAGUCGAGCGAGAAAGCUCCUUCGGGAGUGUGUAAAGCGGCGAACGGGUGAGCAACACGUGAGAAUCUACCCUAUAGUGAAGAAUACCCUCGAGAAAUCGAGGCUAAUACUGCAUAAGUCCCUUCGGGGAGAAAGAUGGCCUCUUUGCUAUCGCUAAAGGAUGAGCUUGCGUACUAUUAGCUAGUUGGCGGGGUAAAGGCCCACCAAGGCAAUGAU
rnacentral:rRNA from 1 species